rnacentral:rRNA from 1 species
GAUGAACGCUGGCGGCAUGCCUAAUACAUGCAAGUCGAGCGAACGGACGAGAAACUUGCUUCUCUGAUGUUAGCGGCGGACGGGUGAGUAACACGUGGAUAACCUACCUAUAAGACUGGGAUAACUUCGGGAAACCGGAGCUAAUACCGGAUGAUAUUUUGAACCGCAUGGUUCAAGAGUGAAAGACGGUCUUGCUGUCACUUAUAGAUGGAUCCGCGCUGCAUUAGCUAGUUGGUAAGGUAACGGCUUACCAAGGCAACGAUGCAUAGCCGACCUGAGAGGGUGAUCGGCCACACUGGAACUGAGACACGGUCCAGACUCCUACGGGAGGCAGCAGUAGGGAAUAUUCCGCAAUGGGCGAAAGCCUGACGGAGCAACGCCGCGUGAGUGAUGAAGGUCUUCGGAUCGUAAAACUCUGUUAUUAGGGAAGAACAUAUGUGUAAGUAACUGUGCACAUCUUGACGGUACCUAAUCAGAAAGCCACGGCUAACUACGUG